rnacentral:rRNA from 1 species
AGAGUUUGAUCCUGGCUCAGGAUAAACGCUGGCGGCGCACAUAAGACAUGCAAGUCGAACGGAAGUCGUUAUAAAAAGGAUUGAAGAUUUAUCUGAUUGAGAUUUUAUAACAAUGGCUUUAGUGGCGGACUGGUGAGUAACGCGUGAGCAACCUGCCUACUAGAGGGGAAUAACAGUGAGAAAUCAUUGCUAAUACCGCAUAUGCCAUGAACAUCACAUGAUGAAAAUGGGAAAAGAGUAAUCUGCUAGUAGAUGGGCUCGCGUCUGAUUAGAUAGUUGGUGGGGCAACGGCCUACCAAGUCGACGAUCAGUAGCCGGACUGAGAGGUUGAACGGCCACAUUGGGACUGAGAUACGGCCCAGACUCCUACGGGAGGCAGCAGUCGGGAAUAUUGCGCAAUGGAGGAAACUCUGACGCAGUGACGCCGCGUAUAGGAAGAAGGUUUUCGGAUUGUAAACUAUUGUCGUUAGGGAAGAUAAAAGACAGUACCUAAGGAGGAAGCUCCGGCUAACUACGUGCCAGCAGCCGCGGUAAUACGUAGGGAGCAAGCGUUGUCCGGAUUUACUGGGUGUAAAGGGUGCGUAGGCGGCUUUGCAAGUCAGAUGUGAAAUCUAUGGGCUCAACCCAUAAACUGCAUUUGAAACUGUAGAGCUUGAGUGAAGUAGAGGCAGGCGGAAUUCCCCGUGUAGCGGUGAAAUGCGUAGAGAUGGGGAGGAACACCAGUGGCGAAGGCGGCCUGCUGGGCUUUAACUGACGCUGAGGCACGAAAGCGUGGGUAGCAAACAGGAUUAGAUACCCUGGUAGUCCACGCUGUAAACGAUGGGUGCUGGGUGCUGGGAUGUAUGUCUCGGUGCCGUAGCUAACGCGAUAAGCACCCCGCCUGGGGAGUACGGUCGCAAGGCUGAAACUCAAAGAAAUUGACGGGGGCCCGCACAAGCGGUGGAGUAUGUGGUUUAAUUCGAUGCAACGCGAAGAACCUUACCCAGGCUUGACAUCUAGGGAACCCUUCGGAAAUGAAGGGGUGCCCUUCGGGGAGCCCUAAGACAGGUGCUGCAUGGCUGUCGUCAGCUCGUGCCGUGAGGUGUUGGGUUAAGUCCCGCAACGAGCGCAACCCCUAUCUUCAGUAGCCAGCAGGUAAGGCUGGGCACUCUGGAGAGACCGCCCCGGUCAACGGGGAGGAAGGUGGGGACGACGUCAAGUCAUCAUGGCCCUUACGCCUGGGGCUACACACGUACUACAAUGGCGCGCACAAAGGGUAGCGAGACCGCGAGGUGGAGCCAAUCCCAAAAAACGCGUCCCAGUCCGGAUUGGAGUCUGCAACUCGACUCCAUGAAGUCGGAAUCGCUAGUAAUUCGAGAUCAGCAUGCUCGGGUGAAUGCGUUCCCGGGCCUUGUACACACCUGUCUCUUAUACACAUCUGACGCUGC